UUUCCCAGUGGGUUGGCAAUAACCUUAUGAAAUCUGGGGACCAUGAAACAUGGGCUUUUGAUCUCCAAGGUGCUGUUGAUAUGUUCAAUUCAUACAGGUUUCAGUUGGUGAUAUUGUGGUGACUCCAAUUUGAAUCAAUCAAUUUAUUCCAAUUUGUUCUUUUGAAGCUACUUCAGGUCAGAGUAGAAAAAUAUA